rnacentral:rRNA from 1 species
CCUACGGGAGGCAGCAGUGGGGAAUAUUGGACAAUGGGGGGAACCCUGAUCCAGCGACGCCGCGUGAGUGAAGAAGUAUUUCGGUAUGUAAAGCUCUAUCAGCAGGGAAGAAAGAAAUGACGGUACCUGACUAAGAAGCCCCGGCUAACUACGUGCCAGCAGCCGCGGUAAUACGUAGGGGGCAAGCGUUAUCCGGAUUUACUGGGUGUAAAGGGGGCGUAGACGGCGAUGCAAGUCUGAAGUGAAAGGCGGGGGCCCAACCCCCGGACUGCUUUGGAAACUGUAUGGCUGGAGUGCAGGAGAGGUAAGUGGAAUGCCUAGUGUAGCGGUGAAAUGCGUAGAUAUUAGGAGGAACACCAGUGGCGAAGGCGGCUUACUGGACUGUAACUGACGUUGAGGCUCGAAAGCGUGGGGAGCAAACAGGAUUAGAUACCCGUGUAGUC